AUUCCAAGAUGGGGACAUUCUAGGAUGUAGUCUUGGAAGCGAUCCCAUGCUUCUGGAACGGAUUCAUCAUUUUGUUGCUGAAAACUUGUAAUCUUCCCACGGAGAGC
rfam:Sorghum bicolor cultivar BTx623 chromosome 4, whole genome shotgun sequence.